CUGCCAAGACCGAUUGUGUUCACACACAGCAUCUCCCCAGUAUUUAUCUGUUUUAUGUGGCUUAUCAGGUGCCAGUGAAACCUCUGUUCCUGACGGGGUAAUGCAGGCUUGAAGGCAAGAGAAACCCUCUGGCUUAUACCACAUCCUUUACUAAUCCACCGAGACACAGCACAUCAAUAACAGCGCUGGGAAGGAGCGGAGCUGCCUCACAGCUCACACACACUCAAGCUGCUGAGCUUCAGGUGCUCCCAGAGCAGGAAUUGGUGGAUGAAACUCCAGUCCGGGUGGGAAGAGGUACGUUCCGUAUGCCAUGGGGGUCCGUGCUUGACAGAAGGAAGCCAAUGGGGAGGGAAUCAACCCACUUGGACCCCCAUCUGCUUUUACAACCCAACCUCUAACUCUGCUCUUAUGCGAGAGCUGCUGCUUUGACUGUUCCCCCAGUGCACCUCAGCUGGAGCCGUGCUGCAGCAGCAAAGAGCCUCUUCUUCAUUAUUUGGCUUAAGAUUGGCAUUAUAUCAGCAUUUUAAUGUGCCUCUUCCUGUGAGGGAGAUGUGGGACAAGCUGUACCUGCUGCUGUGUGACCCAGCUCCAGCAGCUGGGCUGGGGUGUCAGGCAACCAUGUGGCUGGGGGACAACUCGAGACCCCUGGCCCAUCCUGAUACCCCCCAGAUGCUGCCCACAACCCUCCCUUCCCAUGGCAAACCCCUGGGGAGCCCUGCUGCUGGCACCUCUAAAACCUUCCUGCCUGAAGCACAGAGGACUCCAGCACUCAGGCAUUUAGGAAAAUGUGUUAAUUUUACAGGGGUUGAGCAGGGAGGAGAAAAUUGGUGGCAAUGCCCGUGCAAGGAGAGCAGGUGAGAGGAGCUGCCCUGUGUCCCUGGACACCUGGGAAGCAGGGGACACCCGAGAGCUCCCCGUUAAAAAAUGACACCCUGCCUAAACCAUUUGUCAUUAGCUCCCAUUUAAGAGAAGAAGAAAGCUGUGCAAACCAUUAGGAAGAUAAUUGGUCUCUCUUCUGUAUUUCAAUAAAAGCAAGGGACAAAAUACCAUGUAUGUGAAAUAAGUGCUUUAGGAUAACAGCACUCGUCACCUUGACAACUCGGUCAGAGGUCUCGGCGUGGCAGUGCCUGUUCAGUGAGGUGUGAGGAAUAGAGGACGCCAGGGACAGGGGGAAGAUACUUGUCUGACCAGCGGAGAUGUGAGGACCACAACAGGCUGUUAGCUGCAGGAUUUCUAAACAGCCAGCAGCUUUCACAAGGAAACGACGUUACAAAAAUAACCCCUGCGGAGCCGGGGGAGCAGCGCCGGAGCCGUCCUGGCUGUGCCCGCGGUGCCAGCGCCGGCUGGGCUGUAACGGGAUCGCGGCAGAGCCCAGAGCCGGGGCCAGCACGGCACCGAGGGGGGGCCAGCAGCUGAGGUGGGGGUACAGCUCGUCCUGGGGCAGGGGGCUCCCCUCCGCUCCCCCUGAGGACCGCAGCCAGUGCGUGCAGUGCCCCUCGCUCCGCGGACGGGACGGGACCGGAGCCGGGGGUGCAGGUCUGGUGAGCACCUUGCAGGGACACGGUCCCACCAGGCACUCCCAAACACACCAACACGUAAAACAACAUAAUAUUGCAAACAAAAGGUGACAAGGUAACAUACUAAUAUGAACAGACACAAAAUCAAUAGGAAUUUCUAUUUAGGUAGGAAAUCAAUAGGAAUUUCAAGGUAGGAAAAAAGGAAAUUACUUACCUUUAAUUUGAGCUCUCUUCAAGUCUGGUUCUCCACAGAUGGGCGGUAGGGGCUGGUGGGGCUGGGGCAGCAGGAUUCCCCUGGAGAUGAUGGCAGGGACACCUCCCCAGCUGCACCGGGGCCACAUGUCACCCCACUGAGGCCCCUGCCCUGCCCCACACAGGUAGAGGUGGGCCCGUGGCCCAAACCAUCAGUCCUUGGCAUCUCUGCUUGGAGCAGGACAGGGCUCUGCCAAGCCAGUGGGCACGGAGGGGACAGGUUCUGCACAGACCCCUCAGGCACCAAGAAAGGAGUAAAGGGAGCACCCCCAGGGACCGGGGCCAGGGGCCCGAGCAGGGGCAGCAGCAGCUCAGAGCUUCAGUUUCCAGUGUCCUCAUCCAGCAGCAACACCACUUGCAGUGUUUGCAAAACAGGCCGUUCUUGGGAAGAAGAAGUCAGUGCAAGGUGCCUGUGAUGUGGCAGCUCAGCCCUCACCCCACAGGACAAUCAUGCAAAUGGGCUCACUGGUCCGUGCAGAGCUCUCCUGAGUCCAGCACGCCUUGGCCGCGGUUCCCGGCUCUGGCUGCGCGAUGGCCUUAGAAAGAUGAGGACCUCAGUUGGAGCCCCUUUGAAUCAAAAGAUGUUACGAAAGUGAGAGAUUACUAUUUUGUUAAAAGCAGAGCUAGCUGCACCUCAACCUCUGCCCCUUCACUUACUUAAAAGACUUCUAGAAGUAAGUAUUAGUAUUCCACUGACAAUCCCCAAAUCACCUCCUGAUGUGGUUGAAGGUGGAAACAAUUUUAAGCUGCCGUUUCCAGCUAGAUUUGAAUGUAGCAGCAAAGCCCAGCGUACCAGCAUUUUGAAUUUCAUUCAUUCGUGCUAAAAUGGUCUGAUGCAUUUUAAUUUACACAGAAUUGGAGGGAAGCAUGAGCUUUGGUAAAAAGUGGGCAAGAUGGGCCUUUGCCAGGCAACCGCAGGGCCUGAAAUGCAGAUGUCUGUGCUGUAGAGGCAGAGGGCAGCACACCCCACCUCCAACUCGGUGCCUUUGGCUGCCGUAAGUUUUGUUGUGGGAUCCAAAGGUGCAUUUCUCCUCCUCCCAGCUGGGAUCAGGCUCCACGUGGCCGGGCGGGGCCUCCUUGGCAGCCCAGCCCACCACAGUGAGAGCAGAAUGAGGGCAAAGUCCAUCUGGCCCUGGAUAUUAAUCCUGGGUUGUGUGUCCACUUUUCUGCCAUCAUGGGCUCUUUGAAAUGCACAUUAACCCCAGGUAUAACAGCACUGAUUGGAAUAAUCAGCAAGGAGAGAUAUUUUCAACAGAAUAUGAACAAAAAAUGGAAAAUAACCAUGUACAAAAGAUUUUCUUGGCAGUUCUCUUGUCCCUUUUGCCAAAAGUCCAUACGAUGCUCUGUGCCACCAUGGAGGUGUUGGAGACCUCCUGAGAGGAUGGUGUCUGGCAAAGGGAAAGAAGCAGUGGUCGAGUGCAGGUUUGCAGCACAGCCUGGCAGUGUCCCAGCUUGGACCUCUGUGAAGAACAGCAACAAAUCAGCUCCACUUGCUGAGGACACUAAAUUGAGGUGAGUGCCGAAUGAGCUUGCAACAGCACAACAAAAAUCCAAAGGAUUUUAUCAUCUUUGUAGCAGAAGGGACAUAUGGUAAAUAAAAUUUAAUGUUGCCAAAUGGGGAGAGAUGCAAAAUGGCCUAAGAACCAUAAAGCAAAGAGCAGCAUGAAUGGAGGGGAACUGGUGCAAGAGGGAGGAUACUGAAGAUAAGGAAAGAACUGAAAUCAUUACAAAAGCAUUGAAUGCAUCCGUGGAUAUUUACCCUGGUUGCAAAAUAGCCCCAGCCCUGGCAGAGCCACCUGGUCCAGUGCCACAUGGAGAUUGGCUCCUGCAGGCACUGAUAGCUCCUGUCCCUUUGUCUCUCUCCCUCAUUUGGUUCUUGGAGCACUGUUCUCUCCUAACACCCCUCCCUGGGAACUGGAAGAGCUGAUCUGAUGUGUCAUCUCCUCCGUUAAGACAGGUCAGAGUUGAAUGGCUCUCUCUGUGAGACAGUCCCCUGUACCAAGGUCAGGACUUUCUCCAGAUUUCAUGGUUUUAGUCUGGACUUUCCAUUCCUCUCUUCUGGCUCCUUAACAUGACCCAGUCCUUAACUCCUUUGUGCUCCUGGGGCAGCAAGGCCACUUCUGAGCCUGAAUUGUGCUGGGAUUCAGAGGCAGGCACAAGGCUUAUGGGCUUCUUUCACCUUUAAUGAAUAACACCUUUUUUUUUUUCCCACCCUGAAAACUGCAGCCACCUUCACAUUUCCCUGCAACACCAUGCUUGUGCCUAAUUAAGCUCUAUUAAUACUAAUGAACAGACUCACCAUAGCCCAUCGCUUUAGUUCUUAAUCUAAUGCCAUGUUGUGACACUUGUUCAAUGAUGAUUUCAGACCAUGAAUCAAAUCAUUGUGGUUCAGCCCAUAUGCCCAGCUCCCUUCUCACGUGGGAGCGGAGAGAAAUCUAGGCCAGCAAAUAGCAAAAUUGGUUAAGGAGCUGCUAAUUAAAUAGAAAGUCAGACAGGAGGCCAGGCUGUCCCAGUGCAGGGCAGCAGCUUGGGAAGGGGCAGAGGUCCUGUGUGUGGUGCUCCAGCCUGAGCAGACCCCGACUUCCAAAGCUCAUGUGCAGAAGGGAAAAAGGCACAGAAAAGGAGCAAAGAGUGAUACUGUGAGGGUAGACAUCACUAAUGAGGAAGCCCCAACAGUCCCUUCCUUCUUUCCCCCCCCCAUCCCAGAGAGAAACCAAACCCAUUUAUUCUGGGAGGAGAGGCCACCCCUGCACUGAGUAGGGGCUCCUGGGCUGACUGGUUUGUGUAAGAUUUGCAAAUUCUGAAAAAAACCCAACUCCCCUUCAAUCCUGAAGGUUCCAUGAAAACAAAAACGCUUUUUAUUCCUGAUGUGUUCCUAUUACCUGUCACUUAGUUUUGCAGGGUGAUACAGAAUUUAAUUCUCUCUGUACCUGCAUUCCCAAACUUUUUGCAUUCCUCGAGUACUGGUUUACUGUUGCAAUGGCCCACAAAGCACUGUGUCUGUGCUGGGUGCUGGACUGGGUCCUUCAUUCUGUGCUCUCUUUGAUGCUGCUGAAUUAUUCAGGUGGGAGACUCCACUGAAUACAAAGGUUCAAAUAAGAAACAUUAAAGUUAGAAACUCCUAGGUUUUCAGAAGUACUGGAAGGGAAAAAAAAUAUUUCAGCCAGGUUGAUUUAUGUUUAAAAUACCAAAAUAUACUGCUGCACUGAUCGCUUUGAAUUGUGCUGUCAUGUUGGGUGGCAGAAAGAGAUGAGAUUUUUCAAUAUGUUAAAGUGUAAAUGUUGUUAAAAACACAGUAUUAGGAGAUUAAGAUUCUGACCCUUUACAUUCCAAUGAUCGUAAAAAUGAGCCUUGCAGCCCAUUACAGAACAGCUUGCCGAGGCAUCACACUGAAUCACUGCACCACCAGGAUGCUAUAACCCUGCUCCAGCUUAUUCACAGGCAUCUGCUGAUGUGGCAUCUACAUCAAACUGUGAAUGCAAAUGCAAGUCGGAGGGCUUGGAUGUGCUUUAAUAAACCCUGCCAGGUUCCCCCUCCUGAUCUCAAAGCUCUGGGGGAGAAAACUGCUCGUGCAGCUGUGGGACAUGGCAGACACAGUGGCCACACAGUGACACCGAGUCACAGCACCCGCCACGGCUCCUCCUCUUCUUCACUCAUCCCAAAUUGACCUCACUGGGCACUGGCUGCAGGGAGCAGCCCGAAUCUGGACAACUCCGUGGAGAAAGCCCCAUCGAUUACAGUUAAUUAGGCCUCACUUUUUAGAAGACCACAGCAUUAGUAGCUGCUCUGCUGAACGUGGGGCUGUGUCCCCCUGUGCUGUCAGCGUGGGGACUGCUGGGUCCCUUGGGCACCGAGGCCGGGAAGUGAUCAUUUCCAUCUAAAUAUUUAUAUCAUCAGGCUGCCAGAUGGGGAAGAGAUGCUCACCCAAGACUUUCCCUAGGCCCAGGACCUGCCUGUCCCCAGUGCCACUGCUGGACUCACCUCCCACCAGGAGAGCCAGGGACAGGCAGUGCCACUGGCUGCAGGCACAGCCUCUGAUCCUUCCAGCAACAGCAAUUAUUUAAUGUAAUGAGAAGAAUCCAAGCACUGGAACUUUUCAGAGAGAUAAAUGUUUUAUGACAGACCAAAACUGUGUAAUGAAAAAGGCUGAUUUUGUGUAUGGGAAGAUACUUAGAAAUAAAACAUGUACUGGUGCCUGGGAGGCUGAGGCAGAUGAGGACUGGAGCCCUCUCCCAGCUCAACAUUCCUCCCAACCAUCCUCCCCCAAUAUGACAUCACUUCUCACCCAUCCCACCAUCCCUACCAGCAGGACACAGCCCUGGCAGAGGCACUGCAGGGACACAGGGAUGGUAGGACAGCUCACCAGCCAGGCUGAACCCCCCGUGCCCUCCUUAUGGACAGCCAGGGUUCAGCACAGAAACACUCAGAUUCUGGCUUUUAUUUGAGGCAGGUUGGAAAGAGCAGUGAAGGUUAUUGAAAACAUAACGAAAGCUCCUCCUUAUUUCAUUAAAUACAAAUGUGAGUGGGGUCAUCAGUUUUUAUAGGGGCUCAUAAAGCAUCCCUCUUGUUCAAAUAGGCUAUCAAAUCACCCAGGGCUCCUCUGCGGGAGGAGCGCAAUAAACCCAGAGUUUCUUCUUUAAGAAACUCAUCUCAACAUCAUAAUAAAAUAACCUUAAAUAAUACAGUAUGGAACAGGUUUUCAAUAACAUAAUUAUAGGCUUCCAUUUUUUUCCUGGCAGGUCAUUUCUUGGUAUCUAUUUUGGAUGCCACAUUGCAGAGGAAGGGGGUAGGGGUGGAAGCAUGGGUGGAUUUUGAAGCAUGUCCUCAGGUCACAGCAGAUCACCUUGCCUUUCCUUUGUGCAGUGCAGGCACCACAAGGCCUGGGGAAGCUGGGCAGAGCUGCAGCCUGUGGAGAUGGGACAGCAGAAGUAAAGGUCAGCUCAGGUCAUACUUCCAAGCACCAGGUCCUGUGGCAAACUCUCCUCAGGGCAAGCUAGCCAGCACAGGAUGGUCAAGAUUUUAGCUGUCUUCUGUCUGUGGAGGAUGGAGGAGGAAAAUCCACUGAUGGGGCAAACAUGGAUGGGGCAGCAGAGGUUUCUAUCAUUCAAAGCCUUUACAGUCACCUGACAUAAAAUCCCCCAUAUUUUUCCUUGCUUUCUUGAUCAUAGCACUAAUUUAGAAAGGAUUUUAGGUGGAGAAGAUGCCUGGAAUAAGAUCUUUGUAAAAUCAAAGGAGCUGUAUUUAUUACCCCAGGGUUCAGUCUAGCUCUUGAGCAGGGAGGAGAGACAGUCACAAGGAGCAUUCACUGAACAGCAGAGCAUCCCCACAGCUGAUGUCCCCUGGAGCUCCCCACAGGCUCUUAGCCAAGCACUUGAAGCCAAGUGCCAUGCUGGUUUUGUUGGGUGGAUGUUGUUACCUACCCACAAACACUCCAGCCAUGCAAGAUUUCCUCACGGAUAAGGAGGGACCAUCUUCUCUCGCUGCCACCGGCCCUGUGGUGCUUCUGUUUCAGCGUGGCCAAAGGCACGUGGUGCACCUUGGAGCCACUGGGUUAAUGGUCAGACUUGAUGAUCUUAAAGCUGUUUUCCAGCCAAAAUGGUUCUGUGACUCUGUGAUUGUCCCUUCAUCCUCUCUUCUGGACGGUGCAAAGCCUGGGGACUGCCCAGAGGGCACAGCAUUCCCCUUCCUGCACCUCGGGACGGUGCCGCUCCUGCAGGAACGUGCACGUUCUGCAGACAGAUUGAAACCUUUAGCAGUGUAUCUGUUUUCCUUUUUUUGUGCAAUUGGUGGCUGACCCUCCUGUGCCAUGGUGUGUCAUUAGUCCCCAGGAAAUGGAUUGCUGGGCAGGACUGGGUGGGCUGGCCAAGGGCACUGCAAAUGAUGUUUAUAUUCCAGACCUGUCAUGUAAAGGGAUUUUAACCCUCUGCUUGUUUACCUAAGCUCUAUCUCUCUUUUAUUUUUAACAGCAGUCUGAUUUUUAAUGUGUGGGUGUCCACAACAUGUCACUGAUUCCACUUGGGUGUCCUCGCUUCAAUUUAGAGAAGGUGUAUUAUUUUUGCAUGCUUACAUUUGAAGCUUUAUUCACAAAUAAUAAUUAGCAGAUGUUUGCAAAUGCUUUAAGUCUGAGCUGCUUCAGGGCAACACACACAAAAACCUCAAACCAGGGUGCUGUAACUGCAGAACCAUCUCCUGUGCACAAGUCAUGUGCCGAAGCAUAUGCUCACACCCCAUCCCACACACUCGUAUAAAAAAUCAAUCCACGUACAUCAUCUGCACAUGUUUGCAGAUAAUACAAAGUUGUGUUUAAAAAAAAAAGGAAGAAAGAAAAGCCUCAAGUGGCAGAGCAGUUAAGGAACUCCUAGGUGUUUUUAAUAACAUUGAUCAGGCCAAAUGAAAAAAGCCAGAGCAGUGGGAGACAGGAGCAGGCAGCAGAUGCUGACAUUCUAUCACAGCAGACACAUAUUGACUAGCGGUCUGAACAAGUCACUCACUCAUCAGCGCCCGGCCUGAUUGAGUUGCCUGCAGCCAGUAAAUGAGCCUUCCAUCCACUGUGGGUCGAAAUGAACUGCAAUCUUUUCAGACCUCGUUGUUGGCCAAAUGAGAGAUUUAAAACCCCGGAGGACUCCAAAUGAAUUUACCAAGGAGCCACAGUGACUAACAAAGCUACAAUACAUCAGCGCGGGGGCAGUGGGUGUUACACUCACUGCUGGGUGAUCAGCACUGGGUAUUACACCCUGAUCAGCCGCUGAGCAAUGCAGAGGUAACCAGAUUAACCAACACGAGGUGUGUAAACCUUUCAUGGGUUCUUUAAGGAUUUAAAGAUUUUUAUGAGAAAACACUACAAGUUUCCCAGGGGAAAUUUGCUGUUAUUGAUUUAAUGUUUGCUUGCAUGCUACCUGUCAAUUUUCCAAGAGCUUCAGCAACAAAAUUCGUAUUUGAUAUUUGACAGAUCUCUUCCUGGUUUGCAUGAGCACAGCAACAGAGUGCUUUCUAAAGGAGCUCCUUUCGAAUAAGAAAGAGAGGGAAGGGUGCCUCCUGCACACACUUUUAACCAAGGCCUGAUCUCAGCCUAAAACGAAUUCAGGACUGACUACAAGCUCCAAACACUACAGGGGAUGGCUAAGGAUAGAUCAGUCUGGCUGGAUUUGUCAGGCAAAUGGGAGCAUUCCAGUCUUUUUUGGGGACUGGUUGAUGGAACAUUCCUCAUCCACGAACAUGUAUGUGUAUGUGAACACGCUGAACGUGGUCAUGAUGGAAGAGGGAUUUCAUUGACUCUUCCUCCUGACUCAGAUUAGGAAGUUCAGGUUUCUCAGGUCCAUUUGGGUAUGCUGGAAGUGUGUUUGGUGUACUGAGACCAGGGAUAUGAAGGCAGCACACAACACCAUUGGGCUCAACCAAAGCCAUCAGAGAACCUCCAAAGAGUCAAAUGUUGAGCUUAUGUGAAUCCAGCACAAGAUCAUGGAGAGUAGGAAUGAAGAAAGGGGCCCUCCCUCCAUGUUCCCUGCAGGUACAAGGAGGGGUUUCUCGGGGUUUCUCUGGUCUGAAGAACCCAGUGUUUCUGGGAGGAAGGCAGAGCCCUCCUCUUCCAGCACCUGCCCUCUGCAGCCCAGUGCUGCUCCCCCAGGCAGUGACUGUUCCAUUGCUAACAUUUCCAUGAUAACAAAUUGUUCACUAGCUGGAGAGACAAAUGCAAUGCUCCUUCCCUCUCACAGCUAAUUCGUCCCCCUGUUCAGAUGCUGACUUGCUGCCUUCCUCACUCCAGCAGAGCUCUGUGUGCAAUGAUUCAGGCCAGGCUCCACUCCCUGCUCUCCCCAGGUACUCUCUCCCAAUCAGUGCACCCCCAGCACCACAUGGUUCUAUUUGUGGCUUACUUUAUUCCAGCUGAACGUAGUAAAAUGGUUUGUCAUCUCCAUUUUUUUGCCGUAGUGUCCUGGAGGAAUAUGCUCCGGAAUGCCUUCAGCAAGAGCCUCUAAUCUGGAAGAGUCAUUUCUCCCUCUGCCUCUCGCAGUACAGGAGCAAUGCAGUGGCUGCUGGCUGGAAAAUUAGCCCAGGGAACUCUCUCCUCUGUCUGUCUCUCACCUCAUUAGACUAGUGAGAAAAUGUAAUUGUAAGUCUCUCAGGCUUUCCCCUCGCCGGCUGGUGGGGGAUAGUGCUUCACAAGGGCUGGGGGAGGCAAAGCUGCACCCCAGCUGUUAGCACUGCACCUCAGCCCAGCUGCCACGUGGUGCCAACCACGAGCACAGUGCAGGUGGGUCCCCCUGUGCCCCACCAGGGCUGCCCCUCCUGCCCAGGUCAGCUGUCCCUGUGCCACCUCACAUCCUUCAGCAGAGAUCAGCCAAGGCAGGGGCAGAUGGUGCUGGGCACCACAGGGCUGGGCUGAGCCCACCAGCAGGCAGAGACCACCACUUGCCCUGGGGGUCUUCACCUCUGAGCAGCGACAGUGUGGGGAUGGCCACACUCUGCAGCCCUGGGGCCAGCCCUCUGCCCCUGUGGGGCACAGCACGCCUGGGUGAGGGAUCUGCCGGGGAGAACGUGGAACGUGAUGCAUUGCCCCUGGUAGUCGUGGCUGGGCAGAGCCUUCUCCACGGGCAGGGGCUGCUGGUGCCACCAAGCUCCUCCAGGCACAGCCAGCACAGGGCUCACAGGGAAGCCAGCCCUUCAAACCUCCCAUCCCAGUCUGCAGCACAGUCCAGCCUCCUCUGGGUGUUCCAACUGUGUGUGCUUUGGCUUGGCUGUCCCGCUCCGGAUUGAUUUCCCUGCCUGCUUUACCAGCCCUGGGUUUUCUCAUUGCAAGCACCAAACUUUUGCUGGAAGAUAAAGCCACAGGUCUGAAUGAAAUGGAAAGUCUCAGCCAGCGAGUUCCAAAAUAAAGAGGGGUGUUAUUCACACCAGCUCCUGACACAUACAUGUAUUGGUGUAUGUUUGGUGAGGUUAACAAAGCUUCAUACACAGAGGCUGGUUUUGGUGUAGGAUGGGGAAUGCUGAGGCUGAGUCCAAGCAGCUCAGCAAUAACGUCUGCCGUGUGUUUUAAGGCAGGAAGCAACGCCUCAGCUGAAAUCACUUAAACAAAAAGAUUGCAGUGAGGGGCAUAAUGCAAGAAAGUAAUAAGGUUUAAAACAGGUCAGAGCCCUUUCCCUGCUCCACUGCUCCUGAGUGAGAUGCAUUAUUUAAUGGUCUUUGGUCACCGCUGAUAUACUGUUGAUGAAAUAGAUGAUUUUGUUCAAAAGAGCAUUAGAGAAGAAAUAUACAAUACUGCAUUACACUCCAGCACAGUUCCCUCUCUGGUAAAAGCCGAUAGAUUGAAGGUUUUUCCUCUUGACAGGAAAGCAAAGCAGUUGAAAUGAAAAGUCUUAUGAAAUGGCAAAUACAAAUGGUAAUAAUGCCACCAUAUUCAAAAUUAAAUUGUUGUAAUUUUAGUUUCUGAGCAUGGCAAAGUAAUACAAUAUUCAGCACAGGCUUGGAGAGCAAAACCCUUUGGCAAUAAUGAUGGUGCCUCAUGAGCUAACCAAACCAUCUUUUAUAAAAAUGUGGAGUCUGAUGGGUCUCUCCAUCAGCCACAGGAAUGUUGUGUUGUGGUACCCCAGACGUGGAGCGUGUGGGCUGCAGUGCUGUGCUCAGCCUAAGGAGGUCUCUCCUGAAAGGAAAAGACAUUUUAACUGUCCAGAUGUGUUGGAUCAGAGAUCCCACUGAUGACACUCUGCAGCCAGAUCUCGAUGGGAUCAAGACAGAAGACCUGCCUUGCCCUUUGUGCUUGGCCUGGUUAUUUCCCGGCGUGGCUGCAGGAGUUUGGUGUGGUGCUGGUGGCAAAGGGCACUGCUGGCACCCCUGGGGCAAAGGGCACUGCUGGUGAGGCCUGCAGGCAAUCGGGGCUGAACAGACGCACAUCCUCCCUCUGCCUGCUCCUGAGUUUGCUGCACAAGGAGCCUCCCUGUUCCUGUAGCAAGUGGGUGAGUGUCUGCCUCUCCCACUCCUCCUGCCUCUCCAAGCCCUGCAAAUAGCUUUGGGUAUUGAAUCUGCAGAUUGCAACCGCUCCAUGUUUGAAUAGCCUGCUGACCUUUCCCAGUAAUGCCUCUUUUAUAACCUUCAUCUUCUGCGGGGGUUCACGCCAUCCCUGUACUUACAGACCAGGAAUCCAAUGUGUAAUGAUAACAUGGAGCCGGGCACUCCAGCCAUGCAAUUAUUCUCCCUGCAUCCCUGUUUGCACUGUGACUUUCAUCACGGUUAAAUGCUGCUAUUUUCUUUUGCCAGGCCCUGGGAGAGACUCGAGUUUGCCCUCGACAGGUUCAAGUCUCUUCUGCCAACAGAGGGAUAUUUCGAUGCAUAUAAAUGGAUUUAGGGUCUGAUGUACCAGGACAUGCAAAAUAGACUCAGUUGUUGGGGUGCCCUUCUGUGAAUGGCCCAGCACAAGUCCCCACCUUCCUUUGAGAGCUGCAGCAGCUGGGACAGCACCAACAAUUCAGGAAGACAGAAGCAAAACCAGUACCUCUGUCCCAGCAAGUGGGAAUGCCAGAGGGGACAGUCGGGAACACACCUGGGACCGACACAGCGCGAGGUGGGUAAACCUGGCCAGGCUUCACACACGACUGAGCCUUGGAAUUGAGCACCUCAUAGAGUCAAAGUCAAAUAACUAUAGAGCAGUGCAGUGAGUGUGGCAGGAAAGGAGCUCUGAGGUCAGCUGAUGGUGAGCAGAAGGGUUCUGUGGUCAGGGCAGAUGUGCUGUGCCACCCAGUGCACACAGGCACAGCCAUGGCCAGUAAUGCUCUGCUGCUCCACUACUGUGAGUAUCCAUCAAGAUCCAGCAAAAAGAGCCACCUUGGUCUGGCAACAUCUGUUUGCAUUAGUUGUAAAUCCAGGACAAAACAUCCCUCAUAAAUAAUUAAGUCAUCAGGGUACACUCACAUCAAGAGUGAAUUGGCUGCUCUGAGGGCAAGGGGCCCCUGGCCAGGGAGAUUCCCCAGGAGCAGCAGCAUUGUUGGGGGAUCCCAGGGUGAUCCCAGAGGCAGGCAGAGUGCAGCUGUGCCCUGGCACUGCUGUGGGCUGUGCCCACACCGGGCUCUCCCCCAUCAUCGCAAGGAUUUCAAAAGAUUUAAAUAACCCUUCAAGACAGAUUGGGUGUUUCUCAUGGAUAGUCCUUCAUUCAGCUAAUAAGGAUUUUAGCAGUAUCCCAAAAACCUCCAAAUCCCAGGCUCCCUCUCAGGAGGUGGGAAUGUCAGGAGCUUUGCAGAGCAGAGGAGCCUGUGCCAGUCCUACCCGUGGUCUGGGCUGGGUUUUGCCGUGGUGCUGCUGUAGGUGUGUGUUGGGUUCCUGUGCCCUGGUGCCAGGGCCACAACAGAAUCUGAACUUUUAUUUUGCACUGUGCAGCCCCCCGGUCCCCUCACGGUCCCCCUGUGCACGUGGGGCUCCAGAUUUGUCUUUUCUUGUCUGCAUUAGUGAGAGGGAGAUGCAUUAAUAAGGCGGGGAAGCAGGGGUGGUGGCAGCCCUCGCUCUGCUUGAGGAGGAGUGAUUGCUGUGCGGAGGGCUGGGAGGCAGGAGGAUAUAACCCUAAUGUCUGCACCUCAGGACACGCCAUUAAAAAGGCAUCUGCACUGACACAGAUCUGUUGUUUAUCAAUACCCUGACAAGCAUUUCCCCUGCAGCACGGGAACACCUACACGGCACGGCGGAUAACCGAUGGAGCGCUGCUCGCCGGCUGCCCCGCUGUGCCCAGCCCGUGCCCGGCCCUGCCGGGAGAGCCACAGUGGCACUGGCAGAGCCACGUGUCCCAGCACCCACGCACGUGUGGGAACAGGAAGAGGCUUAAUUGAUUUAUUUCUCGCCUCUGUGGGAGCCACUUGGUCUCUGCCACUGCCCAAGGGCCAGGUGCCACCCUGGCUCGUGCCCUUGCUUGGCUUCCGUGCAGAGAUGAGCGCUGGGACGUCGCAGGGAUUCAUCCUCAGGCUUGACACUCCGAACUGCCAGUCACCUGCACAAGGGAGUCCAGGAUGGAGAACAGUUCCCUCUGGGAUAUCCUGGCACUGCAGAAGCACCUGGUUCUGCUGGUCCAGGAACUGCAGUCUCUGAGCACGGGGAGCCCCGUGGCCCCCGCUCGUCACCCCUGCGCUCCCCGCUCUGUUCCACACGUGUGUUUGUGGAGGCAGAAGCCACGAGGAGAUGUUUCACACCUUCUGCCAGCAUUGGAAGGUUUUGCAGGACUCCCCCUGCGUCCCAGUAUUCCUGGCUCCACUUCCUGGCCAGAGCCAGCGCUCUGCUCCGGUGCUGGGAGCGGUGCUGGGAGCGGUGCUGGGAGCGGCGGCGUCUGCAGCACACGCGGGUUAUAAACUUCCUCUGCGAGUUCCCUGCAGACAGAUAUCCUUGAGACUCACCUCCAUCUCCCGCUCAGGUCACAGGGAGAUUUAGAGAUGGGGAGCUGUAGUUAAGGUCCAGAUCUGCUAUCUGAACUUGAGUGAUGGAGGACACAUUCCCGGGACAUGUUUAUUGUCACCCGGCGGCCCCGCAAUCCCGCUCGCACAGAGCCACCUCCAUUCCCCGUAUAAUUCAUGGGCUGACUCCAUGGUGGAGUGACUGAUAAGGCCUUCACGCCGGGCUUGCCGGCCACAUGUCUCAAGGAGACUCCAGAGGAGCUUCAGCACAAUAUAAAUGUGGCUCCGUGUCAGCCUCAAACCCCUGGAAAAUUCCCCGUCUCGAGAGUGCAGCAUUUUAAGUAAUAAAACCAUAGAGAGAUUACAACAAAAUGUGACAGGAAUUUAUAGCCCUCUGCAUGAACCUUUUACCUUAAGAUGGAACAAAGUUGAGAGAAAAAAAUUGCGUGGUUCACUUAGGUAACCUUUCCAACCAGCUCUGCUCAGCUCCUGGCCCCGCAUUCCUCUUUGCUGAUUUAAUAGGAAAAAAACAGCCCUGCUGAGGGCAGGGAGCUGGAGAAGAGGCAGGCACCAUGCUUUAACCCUCACUGCCUCCUCCCUGCCUGAGGCACCAGGAUUCCAGAGCAAAAGAAGUCCCAGGUUGUGCUGAGGACUGGUUUUAGCCCCUGCUCCUCACUGCCGUAGGAUGGGACACUGGGACAUGCUGGCUCACAGGGAGGGCUUUCUUUAUCCUUUUAUUAUAUUUUCCCUCAAGUGAUACCAAAAUUCCUACAGCAUCUGUAAUACCUAAUGAAAAGAAGGGCUAAGCACCAGCUCCUGUACAUACCCUAAUGACACGGGCUCUGCUUCCGAGUGCUCUGUCCCUCCGUGCUGGGAGGGUGUUUUUAUUGCCUGUGAAAGGGUCAUGCAGCACAGUUAAGCAGAUUCCCGACUCUCCCUGAUGCUGGAUUUACUGCCACUUUCAGCAAUAAACAGUGGAAUUAAUCCUGAGUUUACUAAUCCAAAGAGUAAACAAUAUCCAGUGGAGACAUUCAGGCAAGAUAAAUGCAAGGGAGUUAAAAGCAAGUAGGGUGAAAUCAUUCUGCUCUCAGCUAAGGAGUCAUUGGAGGAGUGUGAAGCCUCCACAUACAGUAUUAUCAAAUUGUUAAUAAACGUUUCUUAAGUCUGUAAUAUGGGGAAACUUUUCUUUCCAAUUCGUCACAGUUGGGGGUUUUAUACAUGAAGCACACUCAGUGCCAGACAGUAACUUUGCACUGUGCACUGUACACUCAAGGAAGGAUUGGGCAGAGCUGCUGGUUUAAGAAUUAGGAAGCUGAUUUCCUAUUAUUGUGUAAAUCACGUCAUGCUUAAAAAUCCUCUGAUAGAGCAAUUGGAAAUAAAUUCUAAGACAGUUGCUCUUCAGACAUCCCAACACUUUACAAAAUAUCAAUACCAACUUUACAAAAUAUUAAUACCAAAAUUUGCAAAAAAUUUUUGUCCUGCCUUAUCCCUGGGAAGGAGCUGUGGCCCCUCAGACACACAGCAAGGACAGAGCUGCAGUCCCCUGGAACACUGUGAGAACUUGUGUCUCCAGUGCCACAAACCCCACCUGCAACAGCGCUGCAUUCCCACACAGUAUCUUGGUACAUAUUUUACAACAUCCUGGGUCACUGCUGUGCUUGCUAAAUAAUUAAAGGCUGAGAAUGUGUUAUUUACUGUCCAUUUAGUGCAGUAGGCUCAGAGCUUUGCUUUGAUUUUCGUUCUGGAAGGAGCAGUGACAUGGCCCUGGGGAAUUCUCCUGCUGCGCUAAUUAGCGUGGCACGGUGCAAACCCACACCACAGGCUUUAUU